rnacentral:rRNA from 1 species
ACGAACGCUGGCGGCGUGCCUAACACAUGCAAGUCGAACGAGAAAACUCUCUUCGGAGAGUCGGUAAAGUGGCGCAAGGGUGAGUAACACGUGAAUAAUCUGCCCUCAAGACUGGGAUAACUUGGCGAAAGUUGAGCUAAUACCAGAUAAGACCACGUUUCACAAGAAAUGCGGUCAAAGGGGUCUCAAUCCCCGUUUGAGGAUGAGUUCGCGGACCAUUAGCUUGUUGGUGAGAUAAAAGCUCACCAAGGCUUCGAUGGUUAGCCGGCCUGAGAGGGCGAUCGGCCACACUGGAACUGAGACACGGUCCAGACUCCUACGGGAGGCAGCAGUGGGGAAUAUUGCGCAAUGGGCGAAAGCCUGACGCAGCAACGCCGCGUGAGGGAUGAAGGUUUUAGGAUCGUAAACCUCUGUCGGAUGGGAAGAAUUAUGACGGUACCAUCAGAGGAAGCCCCGGCUAACUCCGUGCCAGCAGCCGCGGUAAUACGGAGGGGGCAAGCGUUGUUCGGAAUUAUUGGGCGUAAAGCGUAUGUAGGCGGUUGGACAAGUCAGACGUGUAAGCCCGUGGCUCAACCACGGAAUUGCGUUUGAAACUGUUUAACUUGAGUGCAGGAGAGGAAAGCGGAAUUCCCAGUGUAGCGGUGAAAUGCAUUGAUAUUGGGAAGAACAUCGGUGGCGAAGGCGGCUUUCUGGCCUGAAACUGACGCUCAGAUACGAAAGCCAGGGGAGCGAACGGGAUUAGAUACCCUGGUAGUCCACGCCGUAAACGAUGUGUGCUAGAUGUCGGGCAGCUUGCUGUUCGGUGUCGCAGCUAACGCAUUAAGCACACCGCCUGGGGAGUACGACCGCAAGGUUAAAACUCAAAGGAAUUGACGGGGGCCCGCACAAGCGGUGGAGCAUGUGGUUUAAUUCGAUGCAACGCGAAGAACCUUACCAGCCCUUGACAUCCCGGUCGCGGUUUCCAGAGAUGGAUACCUUCAGUUCGGCUGGACCGGUGACAGGUGCUGCAUGGCUGUCGUCAGCUCGUGUCGUGAGAUGUUGGGUUAAGUCCCGCAACGAGCGCAACCCUCAUCCUUAGUUGCCAGCGGUUCGGCCGGGCACUCUAGGGAAACUGCCGGUGACAAGCCGGAGGAAGGCGGGGAUGACGUCAAGUCCUCAUGGCCCUUAUGGGCUGGGCUACACACGUGCUACAAUGGCGGUGACAGCGGGCAGCGAAGGGGCAACCUGGAGCUAAUCCCCAAAAGCCGUCUCAGUUCGGAUUGUCCUCUGCAACUCGAGGGCAUGAAGGUGGAAUCGCUAGUAAUCGUGGAUCAGCAUGCCACGGUGAAUACGUUCCCGGGCCUUGUACACACCGCCCGUCAC